AAAAAAAAAAAGGGCAACAGGCCCCAGAGUGGAUCGAGGCUCUACUACCUACCGGCUGUAUGAACUUGGGUAAGUUCAUUGGCCCCUCUGAGUCUCAGUGUCCUCAUCUAUAAAAGGGAGGUAAUAGCUACCUUAUAAUUCUGGUGAGAUUAAAAUGAGGCUGGCAUACAUAAUGGUAGCUCAGUCAAGGUUGACUGUUGUUAUAACUAUGCAUGAACAUCUACUUUUAGAGUUUCAUUUCAAAAUGAAACUAAGUAGGUACCAUUUUCCACAGGUCUGGUGAUAUAAGUUAGGUUAUGUUCCUAUAUUGAUUUGCAGCCAAUGCAUGUGUGAAGAAUAUAUUGUCUUGUAUGUUUAUGCUUCCAGUUGGAAGUCUAGGGAUAGAGUCUGCAUUUGUUCAAAGACAAAUCGAGAGGCCUGUCUUGAGUAGACCCAGUCCAAGUGCUGAAGAAAAACUUAUUCUGAUGUUCGUUAAAGACUGUAAGGAAGAUUUUAUUCAAGGGACUGCAGCAAUGGGUGUCUGCAGGAAGCAGGGGAGAUUGGGCUCAACUCUGAAUAAAACAAGCAAAAGUGAGGAUUUAUCACCAAGGAGCAGGGUGCGGGGUCAGUGGAUGGAAAAGUACUAAGAGGAAACAUUAGGAAUAAGGGGGCAUACUGGCUAAUCUGAUUUAACAGGAUUCUUCCUGAAAGCACGUCAGGGUGAUCAGAUAUCAGCCAGGAGAUGGUGGGGGAUGAGGAACUGAAUCAGACAUCAAGGGUGAUCAGAUAUCAGCGACGGGAGGUUCUCACUAAACUGACUUGGCAGGAUUCUUUCUCUUGAGGACAAGCCUCAAGGAGGGGCCUGGUCAAGAAAAGGCUUACACAAGACUGACUACAGCUUGCUUAAGGAGCAAGUCUUUGUCACACAGGACCCACAAAAUAGCCUGAAAGGUCCUUGCUUUGAAUGUCUGGUUCAAUCUUGCCACAUUGUUCAUUGGGAUAAAUAGGAUUUGCAUAUAAAGUAACCUGUCUCCUUCCAUGGAAGGAAGGAAAGGAGAAAGCACAAAUACCAGGUGAAAAAUCACCCAUUCACUUAUUCAGCGCAAUGCAUUGCACGUCUGCUAUGUGCCAGACAUCAUCUCCGGUCCUUGGAGGAUAGCCGUGAACAAAACCUUUGUGGUCCCUCACCUUGCAGAUUCGCAGACCAGAUAGCAAUGAGACAUUGGGCAACUGUGAUGAGCAGCAUGACUGAAGUUGGAACAUUCCAAAAGCAUGUGACCGGGAGAUCCAGUCUGGUCUGAAGGUCAGAAAAAUUUCCCUGAGAACGUGACACUGAACUUCAGACCUAAAGAAACACAGAGGGAAGGGAGAGUAGAGGACAAGAGAUGACGAAGCCCGGGUAAUAAGGAAGCUAGAGGUGCAGGCAGGCCUUCAAAACCAUGAACUUGAUUCUGAGGGUCACUGAAAACAACUUGAGGGCCAGUGACUGGAUCAGACUUGUGCCCCAGACUCAGCUCUCUGCACCUACAUCCAGUAUGCAACAGGAUGGAGAGAAGUGGCUUGAUCUGAGAGGCACCAAGGAGAUCAUUCACUCUGGGAGAAGUCAACUAUGGAGAGUCUCACACAGAAAGGAACCGAAGCUUCCUGACAACAGUCCCAUGAAGGAUCUUGGGAGCCAGUUCUCCAGCCCUUCCGAUGGCUGCAGCCCCAGCCAGCAACUUGCCUGUGACCUCACAAGAGUCCCCUGUGACCUCACAAGAGUCCCCUUAGCCAGAGCCACCCAGCUAAACUGCUCCCAGAUCCCUGACCCUCAGAAACUAGGCAAGAUAAUAAAUUGUGUUGUUCUGCACUGC